UACCGCAUACGCCCUACGAGGGAAAGGGGGGGAUCGCAAGACCUCUCACUAUUAGAGCGGCCGAUAUCGGAUUAGCUAGUUGGUGGGGUAAAGGCUCACCAAGGCAACGAUCCGUAGCUGGUUUGAGAGGACGACCAGCCACACUGGGACUGAGACACGGCCCAGACUCCUACGGGAGGCAGCAGUGGGGAAUUUUGGACAAUGGGGGAAACCCUGAUCCAGCCAUCCCGCGUGUAUGAUGAA
rnacentral:rRNA from 1 species